GUAGGGAGUAGUCACAUCAUGGGUAGUUUACCACUGUAGAUCUUGGAGGGACCACAGAUGUUUACAGGAAACACUGCUGCAGCCACCUCUGGCCAUCUGCAUGGCAGGCUGGGUCUGUUUUUAAGGUCAAGUCCAAGGAAGGGCAUGUGGGGACCAUCAGGAUUCGCCUCCCGGGUCAGGGAACCAGGAAAGACAGCUGUGCACAGCUAGCCCCCCCGGCGUCACCAGGCACUCUGGAAGAACCUUGACCUAAUUGCUCCGCAAAGCCAGAGUCGGCACCUAGAGUGUUCGAAGCAGCAAAGAUUAAACUUAAAGCGAUUAGACAACUUACUUUCUUUU
rnacentral:lncRNA from 1 species